UACGUAGGGUGCAGGCGUUAAUCGGAUUUACUGGGCGUAAAGGGCGCGCAGGCGGUCUUGAAAGUCAGGCGUGAAAGCCCCGGGCUUAACCUGGGAAUUGCGCUUGAUACUCUGAGACUGGAGUACGGGAGAGGAGAGUGGAAUUCCCAGUGUAGAGGUGAAAUUCGUAGAUAUUGGGAAGAACACCAGUGGCGAAGGCGGCUCUCUGGACCGUAACUGACGCUGAGGCGCGAAAGCGUGGGGAGCAAACAGG
rnacentral:rRNA from 1 species